GUAACGACAAUUGAAAACAUUGAAAAAGAAGAAGAAAUGUAAAAUUUUGCUGACAGAGAUAGUUACGACCACUCGCCUGCAUACCAAGAUAUUCAUCAUACAGAGGCACAAGAUACUAGUAACAAGAGGGUCCCAGCUGAAGGGAAUGAAGGUCCAAUAUCAUUUGCUGUUCAGUCUAAGCCUAAGCUUCAAUGUAAAGGUUUGGUCCACUGACUGCUGACGGUUGAAGACGGUUGAAGAAAAUUCAGUGACAUACCUCUGGUGGGAAUAGCCCCACCCCCUUUGAUAGCACAGUACAGGAGAUCACAAUUUUGUGAGACUGUCUCGAUUUAACAAGUGAAGGGCAGCUCUUUUGCAAGCCAUGAAAAUUUCUAUGUAUAUUUGA